rnacentral:lncRNA from 1 species
CGCCGGGAUGCUCCUGGAAACCCCAGGGUCGCGCCAGAGGUGUCGGUAUCUUUUUCGUGGGGGUUGAGUGGUUUUUUGUUUGUUUUUUGUUUUGUUUUGUUUUGUUUUAACUUGACUCUGAAGGGAGUGAGGCCCAGACAGCGGUGCUGCGAGAAGGCCUCCCUCCUCUUGUUUUUCUUUUUUUUUUUUUCAGGUGGACGUUGGCCAGUUUUAACCGAAUUUGGCAGAAGGGGUGGCAGCUGCAAGCUCUCACAUCUUUUCUAAAUAUGAGCGGCCCAAGGGAAAGGAGAGACAAUAGCCAGGUCUCCUUCCUCACCUCCGAUUACAGGAAGAAAGCUGGAGGGUGAAUUCAACCAUUGUUAGGCACCAGAAAAUCCACUUCUCCGUUAAGGUUUCUGAGGUGUGCGCUUUCCUGAUCACACAUAAGGAGGGGUGUUGGAGAAUGAAAUGAGUUCCCAUACUCUUUUCCUUGGAAUAUCUCAAAAACUCAAUCAUGGGCAUGCAUCCACUGGAAACACUUCCUGCACUGCAGCCACGUCACCAGUGCACAGCCAGGAUUGACUAUGCCAAUAUAGAGGGCAACAUUAUAAAGACAGAGGGAGAAGUACAAAGGAGAGCAGCUACAUUGAGUUUUUCAAGACUCUGGAGCAGAGCUAUCAUUGUAUCACUUUUGACAAGAACAGAGGUUAAACUAGAAGAACAAUGAUUGAUGCAGUGACAAGAUUUGCAGAGCUGCCUUUGACCAUUAAAUACCUUCCCAUCCCCAAAUGCGUACCCAAAGUAAAUCAUAGCUUAUUCCUUCUCAGACAAGUUUCUUGUAGUUUGUUUGGUGGCAUGUUCCUCAGGAAGAAAAAAGUACCUCUUUGAAUUGAUACAACUUCCCCACCUAUGAAUUAUAUAUAAGCAAAAUUGUAUUUUCUCCUUCGUUAGAAGAAUUUUCUGCUAAUGGAAAAGUAGCUUUUCAUUUAGAAAAUCAAAUAUCUCCAAUGUAAGAAAGGGUUACAUGAAACCUCAGGGCACAUAAGGCAACUGACUCCUCUUCACCUCCCAAAUACCCUAAUUAAAGGUAAGGCUAGAACUCUGUUUUGUUAAAUGUCAUUGUAACAUAAUAGUAUAUGAACUAUUCCACCUACAAUUUAUGAUUGCUUUGUGCGUUGGACCUGUAAUAAGCUCCCUUUAAGCAGUUCCUAUGGUUUCUGAACACCUGCAGGACUCAGAGCACACGGAUUUAUGACAGUUGUGGGGCUUUAGAUAUAGCAGUUUCAGUGAGCUGCCUUUGCUAACAUGUGAUGUAUUGUGCUGUGGAAACUUUACACUUACAAUUUUUAGGUGUCAGUCAUUAGAUUUUUUUUUUUUAGUAAAAAAUUAUAUCCAUCAAUUGUGUUAAUUUGAAUUGCAACAUCAUUUUGUAAUCU